rnacentral:rRNA from 1 species
GAUGAACGCUGGCGGCGUGCUUAACACAUGCAAGUCGAACGGAAAGGCCCAAGCUUGCUUGGGUACUCGAGUGGCGAACGGGUGAGUAACACGUGGGUGAUCUGCCCUGCACUUUGGGAUAAGCCUGGGAAACUGGGUCUAAUACCGGAUAGGACCACAUCUUGGAUGGUGCGGUGGAAAGUUUCUCGGCGUGGGCUGAGCUCGCGGCCUAUCAGCUUGUUGGUGGGUUAAUGGCCUAACAGGGGGUCGGCUGGUAGCCGGCCUGAGAGGGUGUACGGCGACAUUGGGACUGAGGUACGGCCCAGUCUCGUACGGGAGGCAGCAGGGGGGAAUAUUACACAAUGGGCGCAAGCCGGAGGCAGCGACGCCGGGUGGGGGAUGACGGCCUGCGGGGUAUAAACUCCUUUCGCUAGAGACGAAGCGCAAGUGACGGUACCUGAAGAAGAAGCACCGGCUAACUACGUG